CGCGUGGGAACGUACCUUUUGCUACGGAAUAACUCAGGGAAACUUGUGCUAAUACCGUAUGUGCCCUUCGGGGGAAAGAUUUAUCGGCAAAGGAUCUGCCCGCGUUGGAUUAGCUAGUUGGUGAGGUAAAGGCUCACCAAGGCGACGAUCCAUAGCUGGUCUGAGAGGAUGAUCAGCCACACUGGGACUGAGACACGGCCCAGACUCCUACGGGAGGCAGCAGUGGGGAAUAUUGGACAAUGGGCGCAAGCCUGAUCCAGCCAUGCCGCGUGAGUGAUGAAGGCCCUAGGGUUGUAAAGCUCUUUCACCGGUGAAGAUAAUGACGGUAACCGGAGAAGAAGCCCCGGCUAACUUCGUG
rnacentral:rRNA from 1 species